AGUAAAAUCUAGAAACAUGUCAAGCAGAGAAUCGUAACCCACCCGUAUACUUGCUCGUUUUAAAGCCUCCACUGACUAUUCCAGAAGUUCCAUGACUUCCAGACCUUAACUGACCCAAAUCUACCCUCUUCUCAAUCUCUCUCUGAAGUUAAAGGGGAAAAAUGAGUAGCCGAUCGAGUCGUACUAUCUACGUGGGGAAUCUGCCUGGAGAUAUUCGUAUGAGAGAAAUUGAAGAUUUAUUCAUGAAGUAUGGACCAAUUGUUGACAUUGAUCUUAAGAUCCCUCCCAGACCACCGGGUUAUGCUUUUAUUGAGUUUGAAGAUCCACGUGAUGCUGAUGAUGCGAUUUAUGGCCGGGAUGGUUGCAACUUUGAUGGGUAUCGCUUACGGGUUGAACUAUCACAUGGUAGACGUGGAUAUUCAUCAUCAGCAGAUCGAUUUAGCAGUUACAGUCGUAGUAGCAGUAGCCGUGGAGCUUCCCGCCGUUCUGACUAUCGUGUGCUGGUCACUGGAUUACCUGCUUCUGCUUCAUGGCAGGAUCUGAAGGAUCACAUGCGUCAAGCUGGAGAUGUUUGUUUUGCGCAAGUGUUCCGUGACCGCCGUGUUCUUGUGUUUAAUACUAUUAUAGGCAUGACGGGAGUUGUAGACUACACAAAUUACGAUGACAUGAAAUAUGCGAUCCGGAAAUUGGAUGAUUCUGAAUUUAGAAAUGCUUUUUCUCGGUCCUACAUACGGGUUGAGGAAUAUGAUUCUAGUCGUGGGUAUUCCAGAAGCCCCAGUUAUGACUCAAGGCAGAGCUACUCUAGAAGUCCCAGUCGUAGUCCAUAUGUGUCGAGAAGUCGCAGUCGCAGCCGUAGCUUUGGGGGCCAGAGCAGAAGCAUAUCACCAGAUGUGGAAUAUUCACGCCGCUCUCCUAGGUCUGCCUCACCACCCCCUUCAAGGUUGCCUUAUGUCUUGCUAGAUUGGCUCCUGUGGAGGUGUCCUAGGACUGGAUCUUAGGAACAUGACGGGAAGUGGUGUUGAUGCCUGCAACUCUUUAGGUUCAGUUGGUUCGACUUAUAAGACUGCUGGAAAGAUCAUGAGAUGCUGGCUUUAAAAACUUUGGGGCUAAAGGUCUAUGAUUUUACUGUUUCCUUCCCCUCCAUUUAUGGUUAGUCAUUUCAGGACCUUGGGUCAGAGGGUAUACUGUUAUUGAGAUUGAUUUGGAUUUUCACAUUAUUGCAGAUCUCUGUCAAGAUCUAGAUCUCCAGUUCGUUCUCCUUAUUAUGGAACUCUUCGCAGGUCACCAUCAAGAUCCAGAAGCUUACCCCGUUAGCUCGGUGACAUGCAUAUGAGCUAAGUGCCUUUUCAGUCUUUUUGGUGAACCGGACACCAGAUGGAAGUUUGGAACGGAAGUUAGGAACUUGAUGUAGCAUCAUAUAGAUGUUGAUAUGGAUGCUCAGAGAUGAUAUUGUCUAGCAUUAUGAAUCUAUUAGUACUGUAUUGAAUUACUAUUUUCUGCUAAACUGAACUAUAUUAAGGUAAUUGUGCUCAUUUGUGUCAGUU